GGUCUAAUAGUGUAGUGGUUAGCACACGGGAUUUUGAUUAUGUUAAAGCAUAAAAUGUGGCUUCCCGUAACCCAGGUUCGAAUCCUGGUUAGACCU